CUUGAAAAAUAAACACUAUGAUAACUCAGUGCAGAUUGAAUGCGAUGUUCAAGCUGAGAAUACUCGGAUAGGGCUCGGGAGUACACGAAUCAAGGAUACUUGAGGAAACUCGUCCGCUUUGUUUAAAGCGAUUUAAGCAAAGAAUCCCAGUGGGGAGAAAGUAAAGAGUAUGUGCUUCAAUUAUCGUACAUAAAGGAUGCCGUGGAAAGGUGCGUGCAAUAGACAGCUUAGUGAAUAGCUAAGCCGAAUCCAAGUUAGGUGUUAGUUGGUGACUGUCACAGACCUUGGAAAUACCAACAAACGCAUGGGCGGUGAUGGAGUUGAAAAAUUCCUAUAACUUUCUACAGCGACAGAGUAGCGGAACGCCAAGACUUGAAGAAUCAAAUUUAGAUUGAUAUUCUAAAAAUAAAUUAAUUUUCUGAAUAUCCCGUGAAAUGUGUUUGGUAAUCAGUCCAACAGUGACUAUGCGGUUUCGGCCGGAGGCAAGAAGUUUUAAGACGACGGUUUUAAGGCUCAGACUUGUUUCUCACUUGUCUGAAUAUAUGUAAAGAUAAAAUGAGGUAAGGCGAAGGCCUAUCAUAAUAGUGUUUAUUUU
rnacentral:ncRNA from 1 species